UACGUAGGGUGCAAGCGUUGUCCGGAAUUAUUGGGCGUAAAGAGCUCGUAGGCGGUCUGUCGCGUCGGCUGUGAAAUCCCGAGGCUCAACCUCGGGUCUGCAGUCGAUACGGGCAAACUAGAGUAUUGCAGGGGAGACUGGAAUUCCUGGUGUAGCGGUGAAAUGCGCAGAUAUCAGGAGGAACACCGGUGGCGAAAGCGGCGUGCUGGGCCCUCUCUGACGCUGAGGCGCGAAAGCCAGGGGAGCAAACAGG
rnacentral:rRNA from 1 species